rnacentral:rRNA from 1 species
UACGAAGGGGGCUAGCGUUGUUCGGAAUUACUGGGCGUAAAGGGCGCGUAGGCGGCCUCGUCCGUCCGGCGUGAAAUGCCUGGGCUUAACCUAGGAAUUGCGCUCGAUACAGCGAGGCUAGAGUGUGGGAGAGGUUGGUGGAAUUCCCAGUGUAGAGGUGAAAUUCGUAGAUAUUGGGAAGAACACCGGCGGCGAAGGCGGCGACCUGGUCCUUGACUGACGCUGAGGCGCGAAAGCGUGGGGAGCAAACAGG